rnacentral:misc_RNA from 1 species
UAACUCCUCACGUACUUUAGCCAGUCAUGCACGGCUGCAAGGCAUCUCUUUCUCUCCUGCGCUGCCCUCUGCAGUGCACAGUGAGGUUCCUGCCUCGAGCGCCACCGCUGCCGUCGGUGUGUGCGUUGCGUGUGUCGCCAGCGUCGGCCGCCCACGGCGCCCUCUCUAGUAUUCGGCGUUGGCAAAGCACCGUUGCGUCUUCAGAAGACGCCUCACAGCCGGAAACCCCAUCCGCGUCCUCGGCGGAGGGCGAAGAGCGCUCAAACAGCGCUGCGCCUGUGAUGGAGCGUGCUGCCGAUGCACGCAGAGCCAUUUAUGAACUGUGGAGCCGCACUGCAGCAGCAGAGGAGCAUGUGCAGUCCUCGCCGGACUCCACGCCAACGGGCGAGGAGGCAGCAGCAGAGGCCAAAGCGGCAGAGGAGCGGUGCACAGCGGUGGCGGCACUCUUAGACAAGUACAAGCUCGACCCGGCAACACCUCGCGAGGAGGACAUCAGCCGCGGGCUGGGUGAUGCGCUUGACCGCCUAUUGCUUCUCUGCGUGCCGCUGUCGUCAAGGCACGGCGCGGACCUUUUGAUGAAGCUUAUGCAGGUCUCUGCCCAACAGGGCCGCCAGUUCUCGAUGCGCACCAUUCAGCAUCUCUUUGCGCGCACGAGCAGCUACGCCGAGGCUCUCGCAGUCUUUUACGCGAUGCGGCGCAGCAACUUUGCGAUGAGCAUGGAGGCGUAUCAUGCGAUGCUCUACUCCCUGCAGCGUCUCGAGGAGGAGGGAUGGGCGGCACGCUUCCACGAAGAAUUCGUCGCCUCCAAGGGGGAGGCCAUCUCGGAGCAGGCGCUCGACUUUGUCCUGCGUGGCGUCGACAAUCAGUUGAUGCCAGAGAACAAGCCGUGGCUGGGCCGCAUCAUGUUUGCAGAGGAAAAGGAUAACAAGGCCACGCAGCGGCAGUCGAUGGCAUCCUUUGAUGAGAUGGGAAAACUGUGGGUGCAGCGCUACAAGAACGGUGGGACCGCCCCAGAGUAGCCCCACUCUCGCGUACCAUGGGCUCCUUCUCUCUCUGUGUGUGUCUGUCUCGAAGAGUCUGCACUUUUCCCUUUUGUUCACACUACUCUUUUCUCACAGGUGUGCUGCGGUGGUGGUGCUGAUGAUGGAUGCGUGCGCGCGUGUCCUUUCUCUGUGUGUCUCUCUCUAUGGUAGAGGCAUGCACCGUUGUCGUUGCUAGCGGUUCCUUACUUGGCCCUUUGAGGUGUGCGCUCGUGUACGCACGGUAACACCGGUGGAGC